GGCAUCCGUCGCGCUCUUUAUACGCAGUUGGAAGACGUAUAGCAGCAGGGGCGUGGCUCAAGAUGGGGAAAUUUGGAUUGCAGUUUAAAGCCACUUUGGAGAAUGUUACAAACGUGAGGCCGGUGGGGGAUGAUUUCCGCUGGUAUUUAAAGCUGAAGUGUGGGAAUUGUGGUGAGGUGUCGGAUAAAUGGCAGUAUAUCACAUUAAUGGUAGGUUGCAAAGUGUGGAAAAUAUAGCCAA